AUCAAUAGCCCGACCUUGCCCAGUUCGAAUGUCUGACCGGUAUUUCUGUUUAAUUGCUCUCGCGGAGCCGGGAAAGUUCACCCGCACUUGUGCCCACGCCGCGGUCGGCAGGGCUGACCGGAGGGUGACCUCGCCAGGACUGGUGGCCUUAGAUGUCCCAACUGGGAUACAGGACACUCUAUACGGGGACCACGCCGAGGACAGGGGACCGACUAUAAAACGGCCGACCGGCGUCAGAUAGGCACAGUUCACCGCUGACUACCAUCUCAACAACAACAUGAAGCUGAUCGUGUUCGCCGCCGUGCUGGCCGUGGCCGCCGCCGCCCCGUCGGAGCUCCCCUACGAGAGGGACAUUGUCGAGAUCCUCCGACAGAACAUCGACCACAACGACGACCAGUCCUACCAACACUCUUUCGAGAGUGAGAACGGCAUCUCUGUGUCGGAGUCUGGCGAGCCGGAGGACGACGACAGCUACAGCGUGUCGGGCCAG